rnacentral:rRNA from 1 species
GACGAACGCUGGCGGCGUGCCUAAUACAUGCAAGUAGGACGCAGUUGCGAACGGGUGAGUAACGCGUAGGUAACUACCUAUUAGAGGGGGAUAACUAUUGGAAACGAUAGCUAAUACCGCAUACUAGUAGAUGGACCUGCGUUGUAUUAGCUAGUAGGUAGGGUAAUGGCCUACCUAGGCAACGAUACAUAGCCGAGCUUGGAAGGUGGUCGACCAAACUGGGAAUGGGGCAACGCCCAGGAUCCUACGGGAGGCAGCAAGAGGGAAUCUUCGGCAAUGGGGGGAACCCUGACCGAGCAACGGCGCGUGAGUUAAGAAGGUUUUCGGAUCGGAAAGCUCUGUUGUGAAGGAAGCGGUACUUAACCAGAAAGGGACGGCUAACUACGUGCCAGCAGCCGCGGUAAUUC